rnacentral:SRP_RNA from 1 species
ACCGGGGAAGCAGCGGCUCCCUGUACCUGCAAUCCGCUAUAGCAGGGGUGAUGCUGAACAGAGGCCUUAGUCCUUUCGUGGCUGCCUUCUGUAAGUGACGAUGACGUCCGGGUCUUACGCAACGGAAAUCUGUGAACCGUGUCAGGGCAGGAAUGCAGCAGCACUAAGCAGAACCUUUCGUGUGACGUAGGGUCGCCUGGGCCGAGUUAACUGCAGAAGUAACGCAUGUGGGGGACGGAUCGACGGGAUGCGCGCG